UGAGUAACCUGCCCUUAACUCUGGGAUAAGCCUGGGAAACUGGGUCUAAUACCGGAUAUGACUCCUCAUCGCAUGGUGGGGGGUGGAAAGCUUUAUUGUGGUUUUGGAUGGACUCGAGGCCUAUCAGCUUGUUGGUGAGGUAAUGGCUCACCAAGGCGACGACGGGUAGCCGGCCUGAGAGGGUGACCGGCCACACUGGGACUGAGACACCGGCCCAGACCUCCGUACGGGAGGCAG
rnacentral:rRNA from 1 species